GCCGGGGUGGUGAAAUUGGUAUACACGUAGGACUUAAAAUCCUAUGGACGUAAAAUCGUCCGUGUGGGUUCGACCCCCACCCUCGGCA
rnacentral:tRNA from 1 species